AUGGCGUGGUGGAAGCUUUGCAUUCCUAAAUGUGAAGGAGGCAUGGGCUUUAGGGACUUACACUCCUUCAAUUUGGCAAUGCUCGCAAAACAGUUUUGGAGGCGGACUAUUGAUCCAACAUCAUUAUCUGCAAGGGUAUUAAAGGCGAAGUAUUACCCCAACGGGAGCUUGCUUGAUGCGACCCCGAAGAGCGGGCCAGCCUUUACAUGGCAAGGUAUACUAAAGGGAUUGGAACUUCCAAAAAAGGCUAUAUUUGGAGGGUCAAACGGGUGA
rnacentral:rRNA from 1 species